GUGCAGUGUAGAAUGUCUUUUGCGAUUGUACGCAAUCAAUACAACUUUCAACAACGGAUCUCUUGGCUCUCGCAUCGAUGAAGGACGCAGCGAAAUGCGAUACGUAAUGUGAAUUGCAGAAUUCAGUGAAUCAUCGAAUCUUUGAACGCACCUUGCGCCCCUUGGCAUUCCGAGGGGCACACCCGUUUGAGUGUCGUGAAUUUCUCAACCUCCUGCUGUUUCUUGAUAGCAGGAGGCUUGGACUUUGGAGGCGCUUGCUGGCCUCUCUUCAGAAGCCAGCUCCUCUUAAAUGGAUUAGCAGGGUCUGCCUUUGGCCGAUCCUCGACGUGAUAAGCUGCUUCUACGUCUUGGAUUCGGCUCCGCCUCAUUCUUUUGAGACCUGCUUCUAAUCGUCUCGGUUGCCCUUCGGGGUGGACUUUGACCCACGAACCCUUUGACCUCAAAUCGGGUGAGACUACCCGCUGAACUUAAGCAUAUCAAUAAG
rnacentral:rRNA from 1 species